GAUCAUGGCUCAGGAUGAACGCUAGCGGCAGGCUAACACAUGCAAGUCGAGGGGCAACGCGAGUAGCAAUACUUGGCGGCGACCGGCGCAAGGGUGCGUAACGCGUGAGCAACAUGCCCGUAUCAGGGGGAUAAUCCAGGGAAACUUGGUCUAAUACCCCAUAGUAAUUUUGUAAGGCAUCUUAUAAGAUUUAAAGCUUUGGUGGAUACGGAUUGGCUCGCGUGACAUUAGCUGGAUGGUAAGGUAACGGCUUACCAUGGCUAUGAUGUCUAGGGGUUCUGAGAGGAAGGUCCCCCACACUGGAACUGAGACACGGUCCAGACUCCUACGGGAGGCAGCAGUGAGGAAUAUUGGACAAUGGAUGGAAAUCUGAUCCAGCCAUGCCGCGUGAAAAGGAAGAAGGUCCUAUGGAUUGUAAACUUCUUUUGUAUGGGAGCAAUAAGGCCUACGAGUAGGCUGAUGAGAGUACCAUACGAAUAAGCACCGGCUAACUCCGUGCCAGCCGCUGC
rnacentral:rRNA from 1 species